rnacentral:tRNA from 1 species
AUUAAGGUGGCAGAGCAGGUAACUGCAUAAAACUUAAAGCCUUUAUAAUCAGAGGUUCAAACCCUCUCCCUAAUA